rnacentral:rRNA from 1 species
GGGGGGGGGGGGGGGGGGGGCUGGCGGGGGGGGGGCGAACGAGGCCGUCGGGGCGAGUGGCGCACGGGUGCGUAACGCGUGGGAACCUGCCCUUAGGUUCGGAAUAACUCCCCGAAAGGGGUGCUAAUACCGGAUAAUGUCUUCGGACCAAAGAUUUAUCGCCUUUGGAUGGGCCCGCGUUGGAUUAGCUAGUUGGUAGGGUAAAAGCCUACCAAGGCGACGAUCCAUAGCUGGUCUGAGAGGAUGAUCAGCCACACUGGGACUGAGACACGGCCCAGACUCCUACGGGAGGCAGCAGUGGGGAAUAUUGGACAAUGGGCGAAAGCCUGAUCCAGCAAUGCCGCGUGAGUGAUGAAGGCCUUAGGGUUGUAAAGCUCUUUUACCCGGGAUGAUAAUGACAGUACCGGGAGAAUAAGCUCCGGCUAACUCCGUG